ensembl:lncRNA
UUGGUUCACUACCUUUAAUAAAGUUGGGUUUCACUUUCUUUUUACACAUUAAGAAGUUUGGGAGCUAAGGGGAGGGUGCAUAAGGUAAAUAUGUUAUAAAUAUAUAAAAAAAUAUAUCAUAACCAUCAAUACUAUCAUUACAGCCACCAUACUAUACCACAGCAUACCAUCACCCUCAUUAUCAUCGUAUGUAACAUCGCCAUCAUUUCCAUCACUAACAUCACACAUUAUGACAAUGUUUAUAUAAUUUAACUUGCUACCGCACGUGUGCUAAAUGAGGAGUCCUAUCUGAAUUAUUGCAUUUAUACGCUGUUGAGAUUAUGAAAAUAGGAAUUUUCUUCUUCUUCUUCUUUUUUUUUUGGUACACUGUAUUGUACAAUGUAAGGUGAAGUUUGUUUCAGUGUUGGCAUAGGCCAUCUAUGUUUUGGACAUGCUUGGGGUGCUAAGUGUAGUGAUGAGUGCUGAGUGUUAGCACAAUGUUAAUGGCCAGUAAUGUGUAAAAUGUAUACAUAUCCUUAAAGUUAAAUAUGUGUUAGAACUGUCUUAUGCAUCUACUUAUGGAACGGGGGACAAUCCCCCCCAUGAGCUUUGCAAUGUGAGUUGGAAAUAAUGUGUACAGCUGUACAAGUUAAUGAGUGCAGGAACAAAAACCGAGACUGCUUUUUUCCCUUUUGAUUAAACUACAGUUCUAUCCAACUAUAGAACAAUAGUUCAUGCACACCACACUUUCAUUGUAUAAGAGUAUUCGGGAUGCUCUCAUUACUAAUUCCUAAAUGAGGUUGACAAGGUUUAGAAAACAUAAGAGGGGCAGAGGGAGGACAGAAAUAACUAUCAUGUUUUGGCAGCAGGCUUUUAACCUGAUACACAACACUAAUGGCUGUUCAGCCUGCUACAGCUAAACAUCUACUGUAAGAUGUAAACAGAUUGAAACAGCAUGACUGCGGCUGCUGUGUAAGACACGAAAGGUUAUUGAUUUGUGAUAUAAUUUGACAGUAAAAUAAAUCUGCUUAUUCUACAAUAAUAAAUAACUGCACUAUUAUACUCUGGUCCACAGUAUACAUAUUUUACAUCCAACGACCCUUCAUGUGCCAUUCCUCGACCCCUGCAUACUUAUGUGUUCUCUCUGAAUUUUUAUUGUGUUGUACUUGCUUGUGUUCGCCAGUUCGAUGUCUCAUACGCUCUAUACUAAUAGAGGAACUCAGUACCUUCCAUUAGGCUAUCAAUGAUUUAGCCAGAGUAGCUUCAAAACACCACAGUGCACAAUCCCAGCUAUUCUCUGCUCUUCUCUUCCAACAGUCUCAUUUUAAAGUAAAGUAAAAACCUAGAACUCUGAUAGCUGCUAUUCAUAUUUCAAAGGUUCAAUAUUAUGAUUUGAGGCUUCACGUGUUUCUUUUAGCAAAGUGAACCAAGCUCAUUUCUGGUGCAAGAAUGUACAAAUAUUUAAACAUUUUUGUCAAUAUUUGUUCAAAUUAGAUUAAACCAGACAAAGCAGCUGAAUAAGCUACCUUUAAGAGUUCAGGUUUUUAGCUCGGCGUAAGGUUUUUUUGAGUGUGUUUUUUAUAAUUAUAUAAUUACACUUCAGAUGCAGUAUUGUAGCAAAUUCAUGCAUAUAAUAUGUGUAAUUAUGCUCCAUAUACAGCCUUGAUCGGAAAUCAAAUGAGUUGAUUCACUACAAGUGAAAGCAGGGCUAAAAAAAACAAAAAGAAAAAGUCCCCAAUCUUUAUCAUGAUAGUCUGUGAACCAAUCAGCAGCGACCAUCUAAGUCAUCAACCAAUAAAUACCCCAACUUCAGAUAAUGAUUUGGUUUUAAUUUCUCCUCGCCAGUAGCAAUACUCCGAGCAAAAUGGCUCCCGCAGCAAUAACGGCCCCACCAAUAAGAAAGGGCUUCAGGUGUUCCAGAGAGUCUGUGCCGGAGGCUGCAGCUUCGUCACCUGCUGCUGCUGUCUCUGUUUCCGCUGCUCCAUCCUGCGCAGGAGGGCGAUGCUCCGGCUCAGGAGCUGCAGGGGCAGGGUCAGACUUGCGUGGGGCAGCCGGCUCCUUUUUCUCCACUUUAGGUGCUGCCUUUGGAGCUGAAGUCCCAGGCUUGCCUUUGGCUUCCAUCAGCUCUGAGACAGAGGUGUGGUCUGGUCACAGGAUACUUUAUAAGGUCAGCUCUGUGCUGCUUCACUGAGGAAAAAAAAAAAGACAGCAAACAGACAUUGCCAGAUUAUCCCUCUAAACUGGGCUCAGACAUCAUGUCAUAUGCUCUGUUGAGUGUAAAGCCACUGGCAUAUGAAAGACCACCUGAUAAUCAUGGAUUCACCUUAC